GCAGUAGUCCAGUGCACACACACAGUCUGCGUCAGAAGCUGAUAGACGAAGAGCUGAAGACAUGGCACAAACGUUUAAUGGAAAACCAGGAGACCUGAUCGAGAUCAACCGUGGGGACUAUCAGCACUGGGCCGUCUACACUGGAGAGAAUAAAGUGGUUCAUUCGGUACAGACGACACAGGUGGUCAGUCAUCUGGCUCGUUGGACUAUCUGAUCAGCAGAAACGGAUAUGUAUUGCAUCAGAAGUUCGCCGAUGUAGUCGGCAAUGACCAUUACCAGGUCAACAAUCUGCUGGAUAAAAAGUACGAUGCUCGUGAAC